rnacentral:rRNA from 1 species
GACGUAGGGCGCGAGCGUUGUCCGGAUUUAUUGGGCGUAAAGAGCGUGUAGGCGGCUUGGUAGGUCUUGCGUCAAAACCUGAGGCUCAACCUCAGUUCGCGUGGGAAACCAUCUAGCUAGAGUCCGGAAGAGGAGAACGGAAUUCCCAGUGUAGCGGUGAAAUGCGCAGAUAUUGGGAAGAACACCAGUGGCGAAGGCGGUUCUCUGGGACGGUACUGACGCUGAGACGCGAAAGCGUGGGGAGCGAACAGG